rnacentral:lncRNA from 1 species
GGCCCAGAGUGGGAUCUUAAAGCAGAGUCUGGCUCAAGAUUGAGACAAUUCCCAGCAGAAUGAAUGGAGCAGUAACACAGUCAGAAGGCCCUGAGGGAGGCAGGUGGCUCUCUCUGUUCCUGCCAGCACUCUCUCCCCCACUUCUGAUAACAGACCUGCCGUACCAUGGGAAGAUGGCCAAAAAUGGCCGCCCACGGGAAGGCAUCGAGCUUGAGGAAGAGGCCCCAUUCAUCUCCGUACCCCAGGCCCUGGUACACAGCAGGCAGAUAAACCUGCCAGUAAUUUCAGCAAAUGAAACGUGGAACACGUCAAGGCCAGAGGAUGGAAAAGGCUCCAGUUUUGAUAAAAGGAGGCCUGCUUGGCUUGGAAUCCUCUCUCCUGCUGGUUGGGAGAUGCAAAGAUGUUUCCAGAGAGGGGCUGAUGAAUUGAGGGGAAAGAAAUGAGCCCAGUAUGAGUCCCCUUUCAGGGCUGAGCGUGUAUAAAACCAAACAACUUGGAACCGCUCCAAGAGAGGGGAUUAAAGCAA